rnacentral:lncRNA from 1 species
AUUUUCUUUUCUUUUUUUUUCAUUUUUAAUUAACUUUGAAGUUCCAGAGUACAUGUGCAGAUUUGCUAUGUAGGUAAACCAGUGUCAUGGGGGUUUGUCAUACAGAUUAUUUUGUCACCCCAGGGAUUAAGCCUAGUAUCCACUGGAAACCACAGGACACUUUGAAACUCCUUCAGGACAGAGAUGCUGAUUUCAAGCCCCUUUCGAAAGGAGGUAGAGGGCAGGUAGGAAGAAUUGAGGGCUGAAAUCCUGGAUUGAACAUUGGUAAGAUGGGCAACUACCAAACUUCCCUCAUGAAUUCCAUAAUAUUGACUGCACUUUAGUUUCAUCCUUAGGCAAAAUUUCAUCGUGUGCAAUGUAAAUAUUUGCAAAAUCUGUGUUGGUUUGUGGUUAAUUAUGGUAUAAACAAAACAAAACCCACAAAAAUCAAACAAACAUAAAACCCCAGUACACCUCCUCUCCCAAUUUCACCUGUUAAUCACCAUUAUUUAAUCAAUACCAGUUUUCUGUAGGCACUCUUAUCAAGUUAC